rnacentral:rRNA from 1 species
CUGAUGAGCCAUGCCGCGUGUAUGAAGAAGGUUUCGGGAUUGUAAAGUACUUUCAGCGGGGAGAACCUCCCUAAUAACUACAGCAAUUGACGUUACCGAAAAGCCGGCUAACUCCGUGCCAGCAGCCGCGGUAAUACGGAGGGUGCAAGCGUUAAUCGGAAUUACUGGGUUCCAAAAAUGAUGGGGAGGCGGUCUGUCAAGUCGGAUGUGAAAUCCCCGGGCUCAACCUGGGAACUGCAUUCGAAACUGGCAGGCUAGAGUCUUGUGAGGGGGGUAGAAUUCCAGGUGUAGCGGUGAAAUGCGUAGAGAUCUGGAGGAAUACCGGU